CCAACCCGGGUUAGUAUCGUGACGGACUCGGGACGAUCUGGACGACGACGCGGAGUCGAGACUGGAGCGUUCGCGCCGGGUAGUGAUCGCACACGACUGGGAAAAGUCGUCGAGUUUCGCGGACUUGCCGGGUUGGGUCGAGGACGCCAAUGAGGUGUGUGUGUGUGUGUGUGCGAUUAGGAAGGAUGAGUGUGUUAUUGCUGCGGGGGUGGCGGUGAAGGACUCACAUGUGUUUGGCGAAGAUGAUGAUGCUCAAUGAGGGCGACUUAAGGUCGGGCUUUGGUGGGGUUAGUGAUGUUUUUUUUUUUGUUGUGGGAAAAUUUGAGUGAAAUUUAAGAAAAAUUGUGCAGAAAUAUGGUCGUAUUGAGCCAACUUCAGCAAGGCAAUUCGAAGAUUUGCUCAUUGCUCAGUUUCCAACGCGGCCGGAAAAAAGGAGUCGAGUGAAGGAAAAGUCGGGUGCGAGGACGACGCUUUUUCCCCGGGAAAAUCCGCCUUCGAGGCUUGAGUUUUCCGUUUCAUCAUGUGAGUCGGAGUGUGUCGAGUGCAAAGUCAAUAAAAGUGAACGAAAUUAAACGCGUUGUUGAUGUUGCUGGAAAAGCCAAACACUUUUGGCAAUUUUGUCAGCUGAGACGUUUCUAAACGAGAGGGCAAAAUUACAACAGAAAAAAAACAGGAAUUACAAACCAAAAAAUAAAAUAUUCAAACAGAAAUUGCAUC